UAUAAUUGGGCGCAAUGAACAGUUUACAGUAAAAAUAAACAUGUCAUUGCUCUCUGAUAGAAAAAGUGCAGUAUGUAAUGGUGGCCUGCUAGCCAACAUGCAUGCUGAAUUCGGCCACACUGUAGUUGAACAGCUCAUUUAAAUGGGUAUCAAACCUAACUGCUUGGCGAUUGGACUGUUAUUACUAUGACAUGAGCCUCCCAGCAGACCUUGCUCUCAGAUCCUCCCGGUUCACCUGGAUUGGCAGACCCUAAUCUAACCCUGGCCCUAACCUAAACCACCCGUAAGCUAAAACAUUUGAUUAAAGAGUUUGUUGUGGGUAUUUACGUAGCUUGGAAGUUAUGGCUUGGAGGCUCAAGUCAGGGUAAAAUAAAGUCUCUUUUCUCAAAUGCUGCUACUGGGGAAACAGAAAAUGGCUGAUGCAAGCUGUAUGCACAGACUGUCCUUUAACACCAAUAUGAAUGAUUUACACUAUAGUCCAUUUGGAUAAUAUACCAAUGUGAUAAAAUAAGUGAAUGCUCUGUAAAUGAUGACUGGAGGACAUGCUCUACCUUUACCUGCCUUUGGUAAUGUAAAUGAAAGUACAUUCCACAUAUUUAUAUAUAGAAAUAUGUACAUACUGUAUGCAUUGAGAACUUUAUAAAUCAGUGGAUGUAAAUGGUUUGAUGUGACCAGUUUGCAGUAUUUGUCAGCAUCAUCAUAUACCACAACCCAUAUGUGUUUCUGCCUCCUUCCCACUGCCCAUCACUAUCCUUCAGCAGUGUGAUGUCAGUCACAACAUGAUGAUUUGUGGGAAGCCCAGGGAAUCGUGCAUCAAUGCAUUGUUGACUCCCCAAAGCUGCCUGGUCGCUCUUUUACAAUUCUCUUCAUUUCUAAAAGCCACAGGACUCUGCAUUUGUAUUUAUUCCAGUAAUAUGCAUACAUUAUGAAUCAGAAAUCCAUUGGGGUGCUGUCUGCAUAAGAUUAUCAGCCACAGGAAAUAAAACUGUAUUUUAGGUUGGAUUGUUGUUUUUCUGGCAUUUCAAGUUGUAUCUGCUAUCUAUAUUUUGGGAUGCAGAAGAACAUCUUUGAAUACAGAACUGUCAUCAUCUUGUUAUUAAUGACAGGUAAUGGACUGUCUCCAUGAGAAUCAAAAGAAACAAAGAAAGCACUUUGGGCCUGAUUCUGCUGUAACAUUAAACCAUGAAACACGACUGUACAAUCACUACAGCUUUUCUGUCUUUUGCUUUUUAUGAUUUAACAAUUGCUGACAUUACAAAGGUUUUCUUUUCCCACAUGUAUUAAUAAUAAAUCUGAUAUGAUAAAAAAAAUCAC